UACGUAGGUGGCAAGCGUUGUCCGGAUUUACUGGGCGUAAAGGGAGCGUAGGCGGAUAUUUAAGUCAGAUGUGAAAUACCCGAGCUUAACUUGGGUGCUGCAUUUGAAACUGGAUAUCUGGAGUGCAGGAGAGGAAAGUGGAAUUCCUAGUGUAGCGGUGAAAUGCGUAGAGAUUAGGAAGAACACCAGUGGCGAAGGCGACUUUCUGGACUGUAACUGACGCUGAGGCUCGAAAGCGUGGGGAGCAAACAGG
rnacentral:rRNA from 2 species